GAGUUUGAUCAUGGCUCAGGAUGAACGCUAGCGGCAGGCUUAAUACAUGCAAGUCGAGGGGCAGCAGCUUUAUAGCAAUAUAGAGGCUGGCGACCGGCAAACGGGUGCGGAACACGUACACAACCUUCCUUGAAUAGGGGGAUAGCCCAUAGAAAUGUGGAUUAAUACCCCGUAAUAUAGCGGUGUGGCAUCACACUGUUAUUAUAGUUUCGGCGAUUCGAGAUGGGUGUGCGGCUGAUUAGGUAGUUGGCGGGGUAAAGGCCCACCAAGCCUUCGAUCAGUAGCUGAUGUGAGAGCAUGAUCAGCCACACGGGCACUGAGACACGGGCCCGACUCCUACGGGAGGCAGCAGUAAGGAAUAUUGGUCAAUGGACGCAAGUCUGAACCAGCCAUGCCGCGUGAAGGAUGAAGGUCCUCUGGAUUGUAAACUUCUUUUAUAGGGGGCGAAAAAAGGUCUUUCUAGAUCACUUGACAGUACCCUAUGAAUAAGCACCGGCUAACUCCGUGCCAGCAGCCGCGGUAAUACGGAGGGUGCAAGCGUUAUCCGGAUUCACUGGGUUUAAAGGGUGCGUAGGCGGGUAGGUAAGUCAGAGGUGAAAUCCUGGAGCUUAACUCCAGAACUGCCUUUGAUACUAUCUAUCUUGAAUAUGGUGGAGGUAAGCGGAAAUAUGUCAUGUAGCGGUGAAAUGCAUAGAUAUGACAUAGAACACCUAUUGCGAAAGCAGCUUACUACGCCUAUAUUGACGCUGAGGCACGAAAGCGUGGGGAUCAAACAGGAUUAGAUACCCUGGUAGUCCACGCCCUAAACGAUGGUUACUCGACGUAUGCGAWACACAGUAUGCGUCUGAGCGAAAGCAUUAAGUAAUCCACCUGGGAGUACCGACCGCAAGGUUGAACUCAAAGAAUUGCGGGGGUCCGCACAAGCGGUGAGCGKGUGGUUUAUUYCGAUGAUACSCSAGACCCUACCUGGCWGAAUGCAGYYGACCGKGGKAAAGYUCAUUUCGUACAUACCCAAAUKGWAGUGCUKCAUGCUUGCCUYRACUYCGGCUCWGUG
rnacentral:rRNA from 1 species